AUUGAACGCUGGCGGCAUGCUUUACACAUGCAAGUCGAACGGCAGCGCGGGUUUCGGCCUGGCGGCGAGUGGCGAACGGGUGAGUAAUACAUCGGAACGUGCCCAGUAGUGGGGGAUAGCUCGGCGAAAGCCGGAUUAACCGCAUACGACCUGAGGGUGAAAGCGGGGGAUCUUCGGACCUCGCGCUAUUGGAGCGGCCGAUGGCAGAUUAGCUAGUUGGUGGGGUAAAGGCCUACCAAGGCGACGAUCUGUAGCUGGUCUGAGAGGACGACCAGCCACACUGGGACUGAGACACGGCCCAGACUCCUACGGGAGGCAGCAGUGGGGAAUUUUGGACAAUGGGCGAAAGCCUGAUCCAGCAAUGCCGCGUGUGUGAUGAAGGCCUUCGGGUUGUAAAGCACUUUUGGCGGGAACGAAAAGGACUGUGCCAAUACCACGGUUCGAUGACGGUACCCGCAGAAUAAGCACCGGCUAACUACGUG
rnacentral:rRNA from 1 species